CGGGGACGGCGGGGACUGCGGCACCGCGAGGGGGAGCUGGGGCGCGGCGCGAGCUUGGAGGCGGAGGCUGGAAGAGCUGACCAGCCCCAAAGCUAGUCAGUGAAGGCAUCUAGCUCCCUUCUACAAAGGGAGAGCCCAGAUGCCUAGGACCCGGCCUCCACCGCUACCCCCAGCUCCCAUGUCCUGGGCUCUUCACGACCCGCUGGAGCCUCCCAGAACCUCUCCAGAGAAUGGCCCUGCUCCAGGUAACUUCUCUGAUUACAAGGUUCCACCAAGAUUCUUCUGGAGAUUACUGUCUUUUGGUUUUUGUUUCAUUCAAGGUGGGAAUUUGGGGCCAAGUAGGAGCAGAAGAUGAGACCUGGAAGGGACGGUACUGGGGACUUGGGGACCCUGACAGGUGGGCAUCUCCGUGCUCGUGGGAGGAUGCCCACUUUGCUGCAUCCUGGUUGGGUGGUUAAGCAGGUCACCUAACCUCUCAGCCUCUGUUACUGUGUCUGAAACAUGGGAAUUGGUUUUCGUUACAUUGUGAAGAUGAAAGACAAUGUCUGUGAACUGGGUGUUUAAUGACUAUGUCAGUGACAGCAUUCAUUCCAGCAGGCCCAGGCCCCUGGGGGUCACUGGCAGCAAACGUUCUUCCCAAGGCUGCCCUCUCUGCCCCACAAAGUGCACCCAGCCUGCCUCCUCGCCAGCCCCCGCCUUCAUGUCUGUUCAUGUAUAAUCAGACGCACACACAGGCAGAGUUUUGAAUAAUGCCUGCCUGACCUAAGGUGACUCAUCCCAGGGCUGUGAGCUGAGCUGCCCUCCUCCACCACCUGGGCAUCCCAGACCCCGCCAAGGGCCACACAGCACCGUGCAGACAACAGGAGGGAAGGAGGCCAACUGAGCCUCCCUGCCCCAGAAUAGACUUUGAAGAGUUCUGGGGAGAAGGCACUCUGGGCUGAUGAUGACAAUAUUCAGACUGGAGAGGGAAGGUGAAGGCUGGGCCUGCGUUUUACUGAAGGUCUCAGGCUCCCGUCUCUCAGUCUGCCUGCCCCCCGUCUCCUGCCUUCACUGAGAGCCUUCAAGUGCCCUCUGCAUGCGUGGUACUCCGGUGGUGGUGCCAAUCUCUUAAGAGAGAGACGUGAUCUAGUUGAAAUAUAUUUAGUGGGGGUCCUGAAAUUUUGAGAUAUGUUUCCCCUGUAGAAUAAUGGAAACCCAAGAACCAUCCCAGCAGUAAAAUUGUAUCAGUCAUUCUGCGACAGUAUCACGUUCUCUUCUUCUGUGCCCUCAGAGAAGGCCCAGGGGACAAGCCAUCUCAGUCUCUCCUUCCCGUGACACUUACGUAAAAGAGCCCUGUCUGCUCCUUUGACUGAGUGCACACGACCAGGUUUAUAAUAAAAGCAUCUCUUUAUGAAGAUGGAGGAAUUUUGCUUAAAGCACUUGAGGUGCUUCCUUUUUAAAAAGACUGCCUGAAGCGUGAACAGUCUGAGCUCCAGUUUAAUUUACUUUGAAGACGUCAAGUCCAAAAUUUAUAAAUUUUUGCACCAGACAACAACAGUUUGGAGUAAAUAUAUAGUAAUGUUCUUCAGCUACCUUCUAGAAUGUUUCAUGUCCCAGUAUGAAUUGUGUUUACUAGCGCUGUCAGUCAGACCUUUCAAAAUUGAGAAAAAAAAUAUAGUAUACAGUGUGUGACUAUGUAAUACACAUAUGUGACAUAAAUGUACACAUUUUUAACGUGGUAAGAACACAUUUCAUACAAAUAUAUUUUCUGAGUACACAAUUAGGAAAUGUAUCAACUACUAAAGAACACGGGUGUGUCUUUCCACUCUCCCCUGAUGUGUUUAUUUUCACGUUCAUGUUUGACUUUUUCCUUUUUUUUUCCUUUCAUGGGUUGUUUAGAUGUUUUUGUUUAUUCCUUUUUAACAUGGUUUCAAACAUCUUUGCCUUGGACAUUAAGAAUGGGAAGUACUCUGUCUUCUUACACCGUGACUUAAAUGAGACGUAGUCUCAUAAAUUCUCAAAUGUGUGGAACCUUCUUGCAGCUGCUGCCGUUUCCUCCGUAAUCUGUCUGGACUACACUGGUUUCUCUGAUUUAAUCUGCUUCACACGGCCACGGCUGUUCACAUGACUGGAGUGAAUUUCCCCCCAUUCAGCCCACACCCCUAUAUUCCCUAAGUAUUAGGAGCCCAGGCCUGGAUGGAUGGGAGUGGAUGCAAAUCCUGACUUUGCCACUUAUUAGCUGUGUGACUUACGGCAAGUUACUUAACCUCUCUGUGCCUCAAUUGCCUCAUCUGUAAAGUGGAAUAAUAAUUGUACCUAGUUCCUGGGGUUGUUACAUGGACUGAAUGAAUUAAUACAGGAAAGCACUUAGAAUACCCCUUGAUCCACAGUAAAUGUUAUGUAAAUCUAAGCUAUUACAACUGGUAUGACUAUUUCCCUCCCUCCUUCCAGGGAGCUCUUCUCUAUAAAUCAGUGCUGAAAUCCAGUGUGGCUCUCUCUGUGAUGCGCCCUCCUUUGUGCCUCGUGACACAGUGUGCACACCUCCGUGCUGCAUUCCCGGCCCUUCGUGCCCCAGUUGUCACAGCAGGGAACAAGCAGCAGGACUCCUAAGCAGGGAGCCGAGGCCCCAUCUGGGUGCUCUUUCCACACCUGAACCCUG